AUGAUGGAGGACUCCAGGGACUGGAACAUGGAACUGAUAGACCAAAUAUUCAACAAAUUUGAUGCGGAAGAGAUUGAGAAAAUAAGAAUCCCAGGUCGUGAGGUGGAGGAUGUGAUAGCCUGGCACUAUGAGAAUACUGGUAUUUUCACGGUCAAAAGUGCACAUAAACUGGCUUACAGAAUCAGCCGGAACUACAAUACUGGAGCUUCCUCUUCGGCAAAUGAGGUAGGAGAUAGAUGCAUAUGGGACAUCAUUUGGAAGGCAAAAGUCCCUCAAAAGAUUAAGGUGUUCGGAUGGCGUGCAGCCACACAGUCAUUGGCCACUAAGCAUAAUGCUUUUAGGCGUACAAUUGCCAUCGAUAAUACCUGUGAUCUUUGCGGGAAUGGAGUAGAGGAUGAGUAUCACGCUCGCAUCGCUUGCACAAGAAGCAGGGCCUUGAGGCAUGAACUAAGGUCGGUCUGGGAUUUACCAAAAGAAGAAGCCUUUAGGGAUAGUGGAGAUCUUUGGUUUCAAAUGCUGCUGGGCACGCAAAGCGAGGCAACCAAACGGAGGAUCCUACUUAUGUGUUGGCAGGCAUGGAAUCUGCGUAACAAUGUGAUUCACGAUUCUGGGAAGGAGACUGUGACUGGAUCGAUGCGUCUUCUAGUCAGAUAUGAAACUGAAUUUUUGGAGGCCCAGACAGUCACUGAAAUUGAAGCAGGGGGGAAAGCAGAGAAUGACCGGGCUGGACACAGCCUUGGUGCCUCUCCCAAGCACUGGUCUCCGCCGGCCCCUGGGUGGGCAAAGCUAAAUUCGGAUGCAGCCUUUUUAGCAGACACAGGUGACAGCUGGGGCGGUGUUGUGGCCCGCGACCCCCAGGGUCUGGUCUUUUUCUCAGUUUGCCAACACCUGAAAAAAUGCAGCUCAGUAGAGGAGGCUGAGGCAGGAGCUAUCCUUUGUGGUCUGAAGGAACUUGCAAAGAGAUACAAUAGAAGAAUCAUAUUGGAGACUGAGAACGCUUCAGUUGGUAGAGAGCUGAGAAGCACCACAGUUGGAAUUUCAAAAUGCUACCCCAUACUGACGGACAUCAGGCAAACACUGGAACAUUUUGCUGAUUACCAUAUUAGUGUGGUUGGGAGGAAGCUCAACAAACUGGCUCAUGAGCUAGCUUUCCUAGCGAGAACAACAGGCAACCAUGCUCUAGCUGGGUCAGUCCUGGAGAAUCUUAAAGAUCUGUUUCUAGCUGAGUGUAAUCCUACCCAUUGA
rnacentral:rRNA from 1 species